GAAAGAGAAGAAGAGCGAACGGAGGAUGCCUAGGCUUCUAGAGGCGAUGAAGGACGUGGUAAGCUGCGAAAAGCUCCGGGGAUUUGCAAACAGGAAUUAAUCCGGAGAUAUCCGAAUCGGGGAACCGGCGCGAUUGAAGAUCGCGCACACUCUACGGAGUGAGCCAACCCAGGGAACUGAAACAUCUUAGUACCUGGAGGAAGAGAAAGAAAUAUCGAUUCCCAAAGUAGUGGCGAUCGAAAUGGGAAGAGCCUAAACCGGUGGCGUUACGGCGUGACCGGGGUUGUAGGAGUGAUCAUAAAGAUUUCAUAUCGAACCAGAACUUACUGGAAAGUGAGACCGAAGAAGGUGAAAGUCCUGUACGGGUAAACAUAUGAGAUUGAGAGCACCACCUGAGUAGGGCGGGACACGUGGAAUCCUGUCUGAAUCUGCGACGACCAUGUCGCAAGGCUAAAUACUACUAGAAGACCGAUAGUGGACCAGUACUGUGAAGGAAAGGUGGGAAGAACCCCGAACAGGGGAGUGAAAGAGAACCUGAAACCGUUCGUUUACAAGCGGUCGGAGCCCGAGAGGGCGACGGCGUGCCUUUUGGAUAAUGAGCCUACGAGUUACUUCAUACCAGCAAGGUUAAGACCUUAAGGGUUGUGAGCCGAAGCGAGAGCGAGUCUGAAAAGGGCGAAUAGUUGGUAUGAGUAGACGCGAAACCUAGUGAUCUACCCUUGACCAGGUUGAAGGUGCCGUAACAGGCACUGGAGGACCGAACCAGUUUCCGUGAAAAAGGGCUUGGAUGAGUUGAGGGUAGGAGUGAAAGGCCAAUCAAACUGGGAGAUAGCUCGUACUCCCCGAAAUGUCUUUAGGGACAGCCUUUGUUAUGAUUGCAUGAGGUAGAGCUACUGAUAGGAAGCGAGGGCUUCAUCGCCUAUCAAUUCCUGACAAACUCCGAAUGCGUGCAAUUUAGAGACAAGGAGUGAGUCGUCGGGUGCUAAUAUCCGUCGGCAAAAGGGUAAGAGCCCAGACCAACAGCUAAGGCCCCCAAGCGCAGUUUAAGUUGAGACAGAACGAAGUGACAUCGCAGUGACAGCUAGGAUGUUAGCUUGGAAGCAGCUAUUCAUUCAAAGAGUGCGUAACAGCUCACUAGUCGAGCGAAGUUGCGUGGAUGAUGAGCGGGCAUCAAGACUGCCGCCGAAGCUUUGGACACGAACGCAAGUUUGUGUGGUAGGGGAGCAUUCUAUUCAGCGUUGAAGGUUUACUCGCGAGAGGGACUGGAGCGUAUAGAAAAGCAAAUGUAGGCAUAAGUAACGAUAAUGAAUAUAGAAAUAUUCACACCGAAAACCCAAGGUUUCCUGAACAACGUUAAACGGAUCAGGGUUAGUCGGGGACUAAGUCGAACCCGAGAGGGGAAGAUGAUGACAAACUGGUUAAUAAUCCAGUACUCGCUAUACAGGAUUAAUAGAGACCGAGGAGUGACACUGCCGCCAUCUGACGGAAUAGAUGGUUAAAGACCGUAGGGAGACUGAAAGUCGACAGUAUCGAGAGGAUUCGUCUGAUCGAACAGCGCAGGUAAGCAGACUUGCAAGAAAAUCUAAGAAUCGUGUAGCGUAUAGCGACCCGUACCGUAAACCGACACAGGUGGGUGAGGAGAGGAUCCUCAGGUGCUCGAGUGAAUCAUGGCUAAGGAACUAGGCAAAUUGACUGCGUAACUUCGGGAUAAGCAGACCCUACGCGAGUAGGGCGCAGAGAAAUGGUCCAGGCGACUGUUUACCAAAAACACAUGGCUAUGCUAAAUCGUUAAGAUGAAGAAUAUGGCCUGACACCUGCCCGGUGCUGGAAGGUUAAGAGGGGGACUUAGGGUCAAACCAAAGGUCUGAAUCGAAGCCCCAGUAAACGGCGGCCGUAACUAUAACGGUCCUAAGGUAGCGAAAUUCCUUGUCGGGUAAGUUCCGACCUGCACGA
rnacentral:rRNA from 1 species